AUGCAGUCAGUCACCGUUCUGCCCCACGUUAUCCAGAGCACCGAUCGUCCUUCAGAGCAUCGAUCCGAGCACCGUAGUGAACCCGCACGAGAAGAUGCACGCCAGGGACGUGGGGAAAGUGGCCCGAGGGGAGCAGGCGCCGAGGCCGCCGCACGAGCCCGGCAGCGUAGCCGACUCGCCGCCGCCGCCUACGUCGAGCUGCGCACUGCGCCCUGCGACUUCCGGUUCCCGACCCAGAACCAGACGCGCCACUGCUGCGUGCGCUACCUCGAGUACCACCGGUGCAUGAAGGUCAAGGAGGGUGACACGUCGGAGUGCGGCAAGUUCCAGCGCUACUACAGAUCUCUCUGCCCCACGGAUUGGGUAAGCAGGUUCAUUCAGGUUCCGGUGCAUAAUACUAUGCUGCUUCUUCUGCCUCGGGUCUCCAUCGUCGUCGGCUGUUAA
rnacentral:rRNA from 1 species